rnacentral:tRNA from 1 species
GCCCCUGUAGCUCAAUGGAUAGAGUGUAUCCUUGCGGAGGAUAAGACACAGGUUCAAUUCCUGUCAGGGGUA